AUACAUGCAGUCGAGCGAAUUGAUGGGAGCUUGCUCCCUGAUAUUAGCGGCGGACGGGUGAGUAACACGUGGGUAACCUGCCUGUAAGAUUGGGAUAACUCCGGGAAACCGGAGCUAAUACCGGAUAACAUGUUGAACCGCAUGGUUCAACAUUGAAAGAUGGCUUUUGCUAUCACUUACAGAUGGACCCGCGGCGCAUUAGCUAGUUGGUGAGGUAACGGCUCACCAAGGCAACGAUGCGUAGCCGACCUGAGAGGGUGAUCGGCCACACUGGGACUGAGACACGGCCCAGACUCCUACGGGAGGCAGCAGUAGGGAAUCUUCCGCAAUGGACGAAAGUCUGACGGAGCAACGCCGCGUGAACGAUGAAGGCCUUCGGGUCGUAAAGUUCUGUUGUUAGGGAAGAACAAGUACCAGAGUAACUGCUGGUACCUUGACGGUACCUAACCAGAAAGCCACGGCUAACUACGUGCCAGCAGCCGCGGUAAUACGUAGGUGGCAAGCGUUGUCCGGAAUUAUUGGGCGUAAAGCGCGCGCAGGUGGUUUCUUAAGUCUGAUGUGAAAGCCCACGGCUCAACCGUGGAGGGUCAUUGGAAACUGGGGAACUUGAGUGCAGAAGAGGAAAGU
rnacentral:rRNA from 1 species